rnacentral:lncRNA from 1 species
CCCAUGGAAAUAUAAAUCCUGGAAACGUGAGUUCUUUCAUGUGGUUGGAGUCACUUCUCUGAUUCUGAGAAGCUACUUGAAAAGUAAAAUAUAAAUAGAGAUUUUCUUUUUCUGUCUGCCCCUGAGAAUUCUGUUUCCAAAGGUUUGGGUGGAGUGGUGGGAUGGCUUUGAUGGGCCACCAGGUUUGGGGACCACUGCCAUAGACUACAGGGCCAAAGAGCAUUUCAAGGAAGUGUGUUUUGGGUUUUAGAAAACUCGGCCUGGUGGCUGAUUGAUGGGGUAGAGAUAGGGGUGGCUGGGUCUUGAGAAGUGAUGGCAGCCUGAGCUAUGGCCCUCCUGAGGCUUCCUGUGUAUGACGUACCCGCCACCCUUCCUGUCCUGCCAGCACCCGCCAUCUGUCCUGCCACUUUGCAUUCCCAUCGUCUCCCUGGGAAGUGAGUGUUCUCCCUGGCAGCAAGGUAUCUUCACUUGAAUUACCACUGUCUGUGGUUGAAGGAAGAUUAAAAAAAAACAAAAAACAGCAGGUUUAUCUUUCAUCAGGGCGCCUUCUCUGGAAGAUGGGGACAAAGCCAAGGCCAUGCGGACCGACUCCAUGCUUUGGAAUCCUGCUAGUUUCUAACUUCUGUAUCUUAUCAGAAAGUCAGGAAAUUGCUAAAGCAAAUACCUGCUUUUUGCAUUAGGUUGGGCGCAGCUUGAGUUUUUCAAAAGAGGAGACUGGUUCCUUCCUUAAUUGAAAGGCUUCUAUAUUUCCCUACUUUUUAGUAAACACUGAAAAGAAAUUCGGAUGCUGCUCUGCUUACAAAAUGUGAUUUAAAAUGUGUCCUUAAUUAAAGCUGAGAGGAGGCAAAUCCUAGCAGGGUUCUUUUUCCUCUUAGAAAUGUAUCCUAUGCUCUAAACAGGAGGGACAAAAUAGAACAAUUACUGGGCAUAAUAAAAGGAAUUACCUCUAAAUCUACCCAGCCUCCACCCCCACCACUCACGCCACCUCCCUUUUUAAUGUAAAUGCGGGCAAUACCAGGAAAUGAGCCGGGCACAGUAUUUGCUGUCUUCAUAUCUCCACUCUGCCUAUUUGGAGUCUUGGGUAAACAUGCCCCCAGCCACAGAGCUCGCUGUGUUUGAGUGCUGCAGCCUCUGCCAUCAGGCACCUCCCCUGUAAAUUCUGAUUAAUAUCUCUCAAAUCCAUUGUAAUCUUUUGGAGUCAAAGAAAAAAGACACUGUACCAGAACUUAAGACAGUAUGUGCCUUACACAGGAAAAGCUUCAAUACAUCAUUCUUUUCCAAACAGCAGGAGAAAACUUGUUUCAAGGGUCAUCUCACUCUGUUCAUGGAUACUUUGACAUGUAAGUCUCAAAUACACACACACACACACACACACACGCAAACACACACUAGGAAGCUGUAUCCAGUGUCAGUAUAGUAUGUGCUAUUAUUUGACAUAUAAUCCUUCUGCUCUAAGCUACAGUGAUACAUGUGUCACAUAUGAACCAUGCCCCAUAAUAUGGAGUAUUACACAUCAUGCUACCAUGUGUACUAUUAAUAACUAUAUUCCAUUCAAAAUGCUAAUUGUCAUUUUUCAGAGUCCAGGCACUUGUUUUAGAAGAACAAGGCCAGGGCUCGCAUUGUUCUGACAGUGUGGCCAGCUGCUGGCUUUGCCACAAUGAGACACAUUGUUGGGUAAAUGGAGUCCCUCAGGUGAAUGUAAUUAUGCAAAUCCUUCCCUAACUACCAGCAUUGGCUUGGCCCUCUCCCCGGGGCCUCCCACCAGUGGGAACACUGUCACAUUUCAUUAGGGGAGGCCUUGCUUGUUUGCUGGGAGUGUCCCCCCACGGUUUCAGGCCUGAUGGCCACAACCUGUUGCCGGCCCUGGGCCCACUAAGGAGCUCCUAGAAGACCAAAACCUUUUCACCAGCUGACGCAUUUCUCCACAGAGUGUCAAACACUGGCAAACAUACCCUAACGUGGUGUGUGUUUACACCCCCGCCCCCCGGACUCAGGGGAGACCAGCCAGCACACAGGUAAUUCUAAAGCCAGAGGCCAGAGGGGAAUGAGGAGGCUCCUUUUGGAAAGAUACCAAAAGUUAUGUAGACCCACAGUCAUGUGUAAUGCGUUCGUGGCACACACACACACACACACACACACACACACACACACACACACAGGGUUACUCUUCUUCAUUUACUCCAGAACAAUCCUCUGUGGGGACUGAUGUUUAGCACCCCCGAAUCCACGGACAGGAGAAAACUUAGCUACCUCUGCUUAUUUAUUGACACACCUAGAAAUAGGAAAACUGGGAAAAUAGAUCUCUUGAAAACCCCACCUUUUAAAAUUUACAUGAGUCACUCAUCGUGCAGGGGUCCUUUUUUCCCAGAUUUUUGGUGAUUUCCCACAGUCGCCAAAAUAGAACUUUGCCUACAGUAGGUCCUGCAUCAAUAUUGAGGGAAUACCAACUAAUCUAUGUCCACUUUGUAGAACUAUUGCAAUGAAAUAAGAAUAUCUUUUUUUUUUUUUUUUUUUUUUUUGCCUUUUAGGGCCACACCCGUGGCAUAUGGAGGUUGCCAGGCUACAGCUGCUGGCCUACGCCAGAGCCACAGCAACACAGGAUCUGAGCCGAGUCUGCGACCUACACCACAGACCACGGCAACACUGGAUCCUUAACCCACUGAGCAAGGCCAGGCAUCGAACCUACAGCCUCAUGGUCCCCAGUCAGAUUCUUUUCCGCUGUGCACGACGGGGACUCCUUGGCCAAGUACUGUGUAAAGUAAAAUGUAAUGACAGUGAACCAAAGGAUAUUUUAUCUUCUCCAUAAAGAUAUUUUUCUGGAGAAGAUAAAAUAUCCAAAGGAGGUGAAAAACACGGAACACUAAUUAUAAAGUUUAUUUACAUCUAACUUAGCUUCAAGAUCAAGACGAUCAUCAAAGAAUGAGAUAUCCUAAAUGCUGGAGGUGCUGCGAAUUUGCAAAUCAUCAGUGAGAAUACAGACUAAGAUUUGAGGCGCAGAGAGAAGAGAAAAGAGGUCAGACUUACUGGAAAAGAAAUCAGAGCUGAGACCAGGCAGGAGGGAGAUUAUCAAUCAGGGAGGAUGCACUUUAUUCACAUAAAAGCCGAGUAACAAUUGUGGGAUAGAGCUGGAAGAAAUAGAAUAUAUGUGGGAGUCAAUGAAUAGGGUUCUGUGUAUUUUUAAGCCUUUCCUGGAUCCUGCAGUUCCAGUUUUAUAAAAGAAGGAGAGAUCUGGGCACUGGUCAUAAAAUAUAUUUUGCUUAAUCUUUCAUAUUAAUUCAAGGGAUCUUAGGUUUAGGUAGAUGAAAGAAAAAUAAAUUCAGGUAGUGGAACCUCCUGCAACAUUGCCAAGAUUUCUAAAAGGGUAUCUGCCCCUUAUAGGAAAUAAGGAGCAGAUUUUCCUCAUUGAAUAGUUUGAUCUCAUCCAGGUAAUGAUUUUUAAAAAUUUAAUUAAUUAAUUAGUUAAUUUUUCAUGUUUGGCCACCCCGUGGCAUAUGGAAUUCCCUGGCCAGGGAUCAGAUCCGAGCCACAGUCUUCACCCAAGUGGCAGCUGCUUCAAUACCAGAUCCUUAACCCACUGCGCAGGGGCCAGGAAUCGAAGCUGCAUCCCAGCGCUCCCAAGACGCCAACCGAUCCUGUUUUAAAGGUUUCAUUAUUUUUAUCUGUCACUUGUUUAGUCCUUUGCAUUGGCCAUAUGCUGUGUCAGGUACUUUACACACUGGAGCCUCUUUAUUCCUCAAAGCAAUCUCAUGAGGAGUUAUGAGCUCCAUUUUACAGAAGAGGAAACUGAGGCCUGGCUACCUCAAGGAAGAAACAUAAACAAGAAAGGAAAUAAAUCCAUUAUGAAACAAACCCUAUAGUUGAGCAGAAAUCCAGGGGACCCCUGCCUUUUGAGGCCUCUUUUCUGAUGGUCCCUCGUGGACAGCUUGGUCUGAGUGACUCCAGGCACAGGAGUUUGGAGCCUGGAAAGCCCAAGUGUCUGCUGUCAGGGUCCCAAGAGAAGAUGAGACUCAUCAGCCCUUGCUGAAGAAGCCACCAGUAAAACUUGCCAAGACAUCACAGGCACCUCUUGCGGUCACUCCCUGGAAACUGAACUCUUUUUGUCUAAAGUCACAACAGUAUUCAUGUGGACCUAAAGAUUUCUUAAAACGACUUUUAAUUCUCUUUAGGGUCAUGAUUCCACUUGGAAAUUUUUUUUUCUUUUUUUUUUUUCCUAGAAGGACCUGGUAUGUGGUAAUAUGUUUACAAAUGGGAUAAGGAAAAAAAGUAAAAUGAUGAAGAAAGCACUUUUAUAAAAAAGAUUGCCUCCGUGAGGCAGGUAAAAUGGCAUCUGAUAUUCCAUAUAUGAGAUAACGAUUUUGCGUCUUUUUGACUGAUUGUCUACAUGGAUUUUUAAACAAUCCUGGCCGCAGUACUGUGUUUACAGGCAGGAUUCUUGCCCUGUUCAAGUUUACUCUCUGUAUCUGUUUCUCUAAGAGAGUGAAUUUUUUACCAAGAGCCAAAUCAUAUCAGCUCUAUAAUGUAGAACAGCAAAUGAUCUGUCAGAUCUGCACUGAAAGUAUUUUUAAGGCCCAUAGGUAGCUAUUGAUAUAAAAUUCUUAUUGCAGUAACACCUUGCUGGCUAACCAGCACUGCUUUCUCCAGGGCUCCUUUCCAGAAACGCCACCUCAGGGCCCAGUGGCAUUCUGGGAAGCUAGGACGGGAGCUAUGCUAUCCUCAGAAAGCUAAGUUAUACCUGGCCUUUCAAGAUAUUCUAAAACCAUCAACGUGAGUGCUUAAAAAAAACCUCCAAAACCCACCUCUCAACGUUAAAGAUUGUAAUAACCCAUCAGAAAGACAGUUUUGCAACUACAGGAGUAGGAGGCAGGAAAUAGAAAUCCCUUUCUUGUGUUGUAGUUUUGGACUCAGGUUAUUAAAAGGAAACAGGCACUUAUAGCUUUUCACAGUGGAGAAGGCAAAGCAGGGAUGGCUGUAAACCUGACAUCUCUCCCAUCUGAAGUUGUCAGCUCAGAAACACUGCUGCCCAUUGAUCCCAAGCCAGAGCAGUGGUUUCUGGGGUUGUUCGAGGGGCUUUUUUUUGGCUGCCACUCUGACAGCAGUAGAAAGCCCAGAAAUGACAACAGAACAAUGGAAAAAAUCCCACCAUGUUUUUAUUAAUCAUUAAAAAGGAAAGCCUGUUCCCUGAUACCAGUUGGAAAAACCUACAGCAGGGUAGUCAAUCCCUUUGUUUCUUCCACUCAGACCAAACUGGGGACCCAAAGCCAUCAGGCAAGGGUGAGAUGGAUGAGAGGGGGGAAAUAGCCCUUCCAAAAGGUCAGAUUUUCCCAUUUUCUUAGAAAAACUACUGUCUUCCUAACUAGGGUGAAGUGCAUUAUUAUCAGAUAAAAGGUUAGUGUAGCAGCAUGUGCAGUGGAGCCACGAAGUAGUUUAUUAUUUGAUGGUGAUGAUUAAUACAAUAGAGUACAAUAAGUGAAUCAGUACUCAAUCCCUAUUCAGAAGAUUUUAUCAAGUGCUUUUUUCAAGCUUGCAUGAAAAUGCAAACGAUCGUUUACCUGAAAAUUUUCUCUCAUAUGUGUAUCUAGAAAGUGCAGGCUCUCAAGCAUCUUCUGGCUUAAAAAAAUAAGUAAAUAAAGUGAUGUUUCUUUUAUUUUUUCCUAUUUUUUUUUCUUUUUUAUCCCUAUUCUAGAAACUUCUAGGAUCACUCAGUGGGUUCAGGUUCCAGCAAGCUGUGGCAUAGGUCGAGGAUAUGGCUCAGAUCUGGCAAUCUGACAUUGCUGUGCCUGUGGCGGAGGCCUGCAGCUGCAGCUCGGAUUUGACCCCUAGCCUGGGAACUUCCACAUGU